AUGAGGGAAGAAGAACAAAUUGUGAAAUAGAGAGGAAAAUUGUUUCGCAUAUUGAUGAAUUGAGUUGCAGAAAACAAACAUCUAUUACUGAAGGUCCAUUGGUUAGCUGUCCUAGCACUCCUAGCAGUGUUACUCCUAGAAAGCCUGUAGGUCGUAAAAACCAUUCAGAAUAUCAAGUCUCAGAGAUGGAACUUAAGUUCAAAUCAAAUAUGUAUUUGACCCCAGAAAUGUGUCAACAGUUGGCUGAGAAAUUGCAGCUAACUGAUCGUCAGCUCAAGGCCUGGUUUUCAAACCGUCGUACAAAGGUUGGAAAACUUUCCAUGGCUCAGGAAGGACCCAUAAAAUAGGAUGCGUUUCAAAUCUCCGACAACGCCCGUGGCUAAAAAUGGCCGAGCAUAUAAGAUGCAGGUCAGAAAUCAGUUGGGGGCCAUUUGAAACUCCGGUUUGCCUUCAAAUUCAACAAAUACAUACAUAUAUAGUUUUACAUGA